GGGUGAUGUCAGCGUUAGUUUCUAUUAAUGGCUCCAUACCAUUCGUAUGCAGUCGGCCAGACUCUUCACAUUACCAUGAGUCGGCAGGCACAGCAGAUGCAUCCCGGAUGCAAGGGAGCGAGUGGGCUGAAAGUGUGACGUGCACACACACAUACAAGAGACCCUCCACUGCUGCGAGACACCGCAAGAGCCAUUCCCGUAAUCACAACGAUGCACACGUUUCAGAAAACUCUAGCACCUUUAAAAAGGAUCGUGAUGAUUAUGAUGCGUGAAAAACAUGUGUUGACUUUGUCUCUCCCCGCAGUGCCCUCAACGAACCAGCCGGGGUCAAGUUGUUUUUCUAAGCCACGAUCCCUGUCGCCUCGGUCCUGAAGGAUGUGUUCCCUGAAGCUGCCCCUUUUAAAGCAUAUACAUGGAAAGCAAAAUAUUUUGUAUGCAUUGUUUUAAAUAGGCUCUGGUGUUUCAGGGGUCUGUAUUGACAGUUUGUUCAUGUGUCCCAGCUCUGGCCGUUCUCUGUUCAUAAUGUUUAUGUAUUCUACUUAAUAAAAACCUGGACUGUCCCCAUGGACUGCUGCCAAGAGUUGAUUCAAUAUUAAAAGUUAUUAAAGCUGUGCUUUGUUCUCACUCACAUUUCCCAUCUGUUCUUUUCUAUGUUCCUGUUAUCGGAUGGUACAAUCAAAGAAACCUUUAUUUCAACACCUACAAUAUGAUAUUAUGGAACGUAUUGUACUGUACUCAUAUUCACAGAAACAUUAAAAAACAGCAGAAGGUCUGACCUUUUGUGUAAUGCUGAUGUAGAAGAAGGUAGUGGAGACCAACACGGGUGUUCAGAUACCUGUAACGCCCGCUUUCUCUGUUCAGGCACUGCUGGCACUCUGACCUCAGUUUAAAGUAUUGACCUAUCAAGUGAGUCCAUGACACAGUGUGGUAUUCAUAGAGUCCAACGGUUGGUGCUGUGACUAUCAAAAAGCAUUUCUGUCAGGAAUCUUAAUCAGCUCCACCAGUGUAGUUCUGAGUUUGAAUCCAAAGUUGAGCGUCUUUCUCUUUGCUUUUCGUACAUGUGUUGGUCUCUCACUUAUAACAUUUACAUCUAUAAAUGUAUUGCCUCAUUUGUAAAGUUAAUCUUCAUACUCAAUAUUACAACUAGGCUGUGUAUGUCCUUGCUGUGGACGUUGAGAACCUUUAUCACAGCUCCAUGAUGUGGUCCACAUCCAUACCACACGUCUUUUUUAAUGCAUAUUAUUACGCUUUCAUGCACAUGAGGGUACAGACAAGACAAAACCACCAACAAAGAGUUAACGAAGGAUCCAUCUCGUGAAUGGUGUAGAGC
ensembl:lncRNA